CACGGGGGGAGCAAACGUUAUUCGGAAUCACUGGGCUUAAAGGGUGCGUAGGCGGCCAUGUAAGUGGGGUGUGAAAUUCCUCGGCUCAACCGAGGAACUGCGCUCCAUACUGCAUGGCUUGAGGGAGACAGGGGUAAGCGGAACUGAUGGUGGAGCGGUGAAAUGCGUUGAUAUCAUCAGGAACACCGGUGGCGAAAGCGGCUUACUGGGUCUCUUCUGACGCUGAGGUACGAAAGCUAGGGGAGCGAACGGG
rnacentral:rRNA from 1 species